AGAGUUUGAUCAUGGCUCAGGACGAACGCUGGCGGCGUGCUUAACACAUGCAAGUCGAGCGGUAAGGCCCUUCGGGGUACACGAGCGGCGAACGGGUGAGUAACACGUGGGCAACCUGCCCUGCACUCUGGGAUAAGCCCGGGAAACUGGGUCUAAUACCGGAUAUGACCUUCUGCCGCAUGGUGGAGGGUGGAAAGUUCCGGCGGUGCAGGAUGGGCCCGCGGCCUAUCAGCUUGUUGGUGGGGUAGUGGCCUACCAAGGCGACGACGGGUAGCCGGCCUGAGAGGGCGACCGGCCACACUGGGACUGAGACACGGCCCAGACUCCUACGGGAGGCAGCAGUGGGGAAUAUUGCGCAAUGGGCGAAAGCCUGACGCAGCGACGCCGCGUGAGGGAUGACGGCCUUCGGGUUGUAAACCUCUUUCAGCAGGGACGAAGCGCAAGUGACGGUACCUGCAGAAGAAGCACCGGCUAACUACGUGCCAGCAGCGGCGGUAAUUC
rnacentral:rRNA from 1 species